rnacentral:rRNA from 1 species
GAUGAACGCUGGCGGCGUGCCUAAUACAUGCAAGUCGAGCGAACGGACGAGAAGCUUGCUUCUCUGAUGUUAGCGGCGGACGGGUGAGUAACACGUGGAUAACCUACCUAUAAGACUGGGAUAACUUCGGGAAACCGUAGCUAAUACCGGAUAAUAUUUUGAACCGCAUGGUUCAAAAGUGAAAGACGGUCUUGCUGUCACUUAUAGAUGGAUCCGCGCUGCAUUAGCUAGUUGGUAAGGUAACGGCUUACCAAGGCAACGAUGCAUAGCCGACCUGAGAGGGUGAUCGGCCACACUGGAACUGAGACACGGUCCAGACUCCUACGGGAGGCAGCAGUAGGGAAUCUUCCGCAAUGGGCGAAAGCCUGACGGAGCAACGCCGCGUGAGUGAUGAAGGUCUUCGGAUCGUAAAACUCUGUUAUUAGGGAAGAACAUAUGUGUAAGUAACUGUGCACAUCUUGACGGUACCUAAUCAGAAAGCCACGGCUAACUACGUGCCAGCAGCCGCGGUAAUACGUAGGUGGCAAGCGUUAUCCGGAAUUAUUGGGCGUAAAGCGCGCGUAGGCGGUUUUUUAAGUCUGAUGUGAAAGCCCACGGCUCAACCGUGGAGGGUCAUUGGAAACUGGAAAACUUGAGUGCAGAAGAGGAAAGUGGAAUUCCAUGUGUAGCGGUGAAAUGCGCAGAGAUAUGGAGGAACACCAGUGGCGAAGGCGACUUUCUGGUCUGUAACUGACGCUGAUGUGCGAAAGCGUGGGGAUCAAACAGGAUUAGAUACCCUGGUAGUCCACGCCGUAAACGAUGAGUGCUAAGUGUUAGGGGGUUUCCGCCCCUUAGUGCUGCAGCUAACGCAUUAAGCACUCCGCCUGGGGAGUACGACCGCAAGGUUGAAACUCAAAGGAAUUGACGGGGACCCGCACAAGCGGUGGAGCAUGUGGUUUAAUUCGAAGCAACGCGAAGAACCUUACCAAAUCUUGACAUCCUUUGACAACUCUAGAGAUAGAGCCUUCCCCUUCGGGGGACAAAGUGACAGGUGGUGCAUGGUUGUCGUCAGCUCGUGUCGUGAGAUGUUGGGUUAAGUCCCGCAACGAGCGCAACCCUUAAGCUUAGUUGCCAUCAUUAAGUUGGGCACUCUAAGUUGACUGCCGGUGACAAGCCGGAGGAAGGUGGGGAUGACGUCAAAUCAUCAUGCCCCCUAUGAUUUGGGCUACACACGUGCUACAAUGGACAAUACAAAGGGCAGCGAAACCGCGAGGUCAAGCAAAUCCCAUAAAGUUGUUCUCAGUUCGGAUUGUAGUCUGCAACUCGACUACAUGAAGCUGGAAUCGCUAGUAAUCGUAGAUCAGCAUGCUACGGUGAAUACGUUCCCGGGUCU